GAUGAACGCUAGCGGCAGGCUUAACACAUGCAAGUCGAGGGGCAGCACGGGUAGCAAUACCUGGUGGCGACCGGCGCAAGGGUGCGUAACGCGUGAGCAACAUGCCCUAUACAGGGGGAUAAUCCAGGGAAACUUGGUCUAAUAUCCCAUAGUAUUUAGAGGAGGCAUCUUCUAUAAAUUAAAGCUUCGGUGGUAUAGGAUUGGCUCGCGUGACAUUAGCUAGAUGGUGAGGUAACGGCUCACCAUGGCAAUGAUGUCUAGGGGUUCUGAGAGGAAGGCCCCCCACACUGGGACUGAGACACGGCCCAGACUCCUACGGGAGGCAGCAGUGAGGAAUAUUGGACAAUGGAUGGAAAUCUGAUCCAGCCAUGCCGCGUGCAGGAAGACAGCCCUAUGGGUUGUAAACUGCUUUUAUAUGGGAGCAAUAAGGUCUAACGUGUAGACUGAUGAGAGUACCAUAUGAAUAAGC
rnacentral:rRNA from 1 species